UGGUCUUGAACUUCCGAGGUCAAAUGAUCUUUCUACCUCGGCCUCCCAAAGUACUAGGAUUAUAGGCAUGAGCCACAUACCAGGCCUGGCAUAACUUUUUGAAGGACCCCAAGGUUUCCUCUCUCAAAGAGAGGGCAGUUGUGCACAGCACAGUAACAAGGGGAAUAGUCAUUGUUGUUUUUUGACACUGGGCUGGUUUUCAGACCAUGUUUUGUUUUCCCUGUAAAUCAAGCCUGUCCAACCCGCAGCCUGUUGGGUCACAUGUGGCCCAGGAUGGCUUUGAAUGUGGCCCAACACAAAUUUGUAAGCUUUGUUAAAACAUUUGAGAUGUUUCUGGGAUUUUUUUUUUCUUAGCUCAUCAGCUAUGAUGAGUGUUGGUGUGUUUUAUCUGUGGCCCAAGACAAUUCUUCUUCCAAUGUGACCUAGGGAAGCCAAAAUAUUGGGCACCCCUGCUGUAACUGAAGAUGUGCAGUGCCCAGGCACUUGAGUAGCGUGUUGACACAAGAAACCAGAAUCACAUGCACCUUGUAAACCACUAUGGACUUCGGACAGAUUGCCUGAGUUUAAAUCUUGGCUCCCUCACUUACAGAUAUGUAUCCUUGGACGAGGUAAUUAACCACUCCAUGCCACAAUUUCCUUAUCUACAAAAUGGGAUUAAUAAGAAUAUUCACCUUAUAGGAUCACUGUGGACAUUAAGCGAUGCAGGUAAAGUUUUUAGGAUCCCUAGCCUCAUAGUAAGCCCUCAAUAAAUGUUAUUCUUAUUUUAUUGUUAACUAUAUGUGGUCUCAGCCAUAAUCAGGUUUACCAGAAACUGCGAUGCACCAUUUUAUGAACAACUGUUAGCUUGGCCACAAAAAAAGGAAACUUCAUUUCUUUCUACCAAGAAAGAAAUGGACUCCCUAGGGGACUUGAGAUCUAUUUUAUUCUAAUCGGUCACUGGGUCUGCAUACAUUAUUCCUUUCUCCUGUCUGGGCUCAGAGAACAGGGUGUCUUGGAUAAUUUAAUUUUGCGACUGAUACUUACAAAACACCACUUUCAGUUCAAGUUUUAUUUGUGAAAAGUUUUUCUAAAAUCCAGUAAUAUCCUUUGUUUCUAUAGAAGUAUAGUGAAUAAGAAAAUGUAAUCUUUCCUUGACAAUGAAAGAUUUUGGAGUCAUUUCAGAAAAUUUGUUCCUGAUGGCCAGAAAUAUAAAUGUAGGUAAAGAUAGGGCUGCAUGUAUAAUAAGCCCAGGAUGACCCUGAGAAAGAUUUUUAAUAUGUCGUUAAAAAAAAAAAAACCAAAAACCUAAUCUUUGCAACUUUUCCUUAAAAUUAGAGUAAAGG